rnacentral:lncRNA from 10 species
GCCCAGGGUCCAAGCUCCUUGAAUAAGGCCUGACUGUACAUGUGUGCACAUACCAGGGAGGCAGGGGCUCAUCCGGCCCCAUCCUCCCCUGGCCCCACAGCGGGCACUCACGGUCUUCCUCGGGGGGAAGACAGGGAGAACCCAGUGCCUGUGGAAGGUUAAACAGUGCGUGGGCUGAGCAAGCGUGCCGGGGCUACCUGGCCGGGCAUGCUAGGGGCUUGCAGCAGACCUCAAGUGCCAGGGAAUGGAGCCGCUCUGUAGGUUUGGACAGAGGAAGUGGAGGCUGGGAUGGUGGGCUUCAGGCGGCGAGGCAGAAGACAUUCUAAUUAUUCAGUCAAAGGAGGCUUUGAGCUCUGCUGGGUGAAGGGGAGGAGGAUUUGUGCAGCAGCUUCCACCAGUGAGGCACAUGUGGCUGUACCUUCCUCACUGCAUCACUGCACCCAUUUCACAGAAAGAAGCUGGAAGCUCAAGCCUGACUAUAGGACCAGCACAGCCCCUGGCCAGCCGCAUGCUGCAGAGGCUCUGGCUGACUGUCUCUGCUCGCCUGUUCUGUUGUUUGCAUGUUCUCAGAAUAGGAGACCCCUAAAGACAGAAACUGCAUGUGUCCUGCGCAGGAAAUCUUGUAUUGGCCCUCUCAGCAGCCUUCUGGUUCCAAACCCUAUGGAAACUGCGCUCACCAAGUCAGCAGAGGCCUCCUCCUCUCAGCCUCAACUUCUUGGGGGAAAUUGGUUCUAGGGCCAGCAAGACUUCCAAAGAGCCUCUUCCCAGCAGGUUCAACCUCCCAUCAUCUGAAAGUCUUUCUGCUCCCCUCAGGGAUCCCCCACCAAGCCCUCUGCCCCUGAAGGUUGGUGCUCUGAGGGCAUCCUCCUCUCUCUGUGCACUCGCCAUCAGAGUGGUUUAGCUCCCCUUGUUCCAAUUCCAGUUGGCCACAAGCAGCUCCCAAGUCAAUUUCUCUGGUUCACUGUCCAUUAGUUGACCCAGCUAGAACCCCACCCCUGGCUCCUGACGCCUCUCCUGCUGGACUCUUCAGCAUGUUGGAUGAAGGCCAUUAGUGCUGAACUCACCAUACUCUUCCAAGAUCUGCCUGCUCCUCCCCAUCACCCCAGAGCAAGCCCUUGGCUCCUCUCCCCUUCCUAGAAACUCCCACCAGUGUUGUCAGUUCUCUUGGGUCAUGAUUCCUUAAAAAUGAACACAGAAUCUAAUUUUAUUUUCAAAACAUGAAAACAGUUCACCAUUUAACUUUGCUCUUAUUAAGUCUAUUAUCCUGAUUCAUCCUCUUUGGUAUUAAAGUCAAUAAAUCGUAUAAAUCUUGAAACUUUUUUAACUCAGAAAAAUAAAUUCUGUUAUGACAAUCCUUGAC